rnacentral:rRNA from 1 species
UACGGGGGGUGCGAGCGUUGUCCGGAAUCACUGGGCUUAAAGGGCGCGUAGGCGGCUCGACAAGUCGGGGGUGAAAUCUUUCGGCUCAACCGGAAAAGGGCCUCCGAUACUGUCGAGCUCGAGGGAGGUAGGGGCGGACGGAACUUCCGGUGGAGCGGUGAAAUGCGUUGAUAUCGGAAGGAACGCCGGUGGCGAAAGCGGUCCGCUGGCCCUCUACUGACGCUGAGGCGCGAAAGCCAGGGGAGCAAACGGG